CUUUGAAUAUUGCCUAAUCUUUAGCAUGUACUAAAUAUAUCAAUUUCUAAGUACCUAUGCACUAAUUCCAUCUUAUCUCAAAAAUUCAAUGCUCAAAUACCAUAAAUUUUUCAUAUACAACUUUUUAACAUAGUCAUCUAUACUUGUAGAAAUUUUGAGCUAAAAAUUCGUCUAAAAACUCAAGAUAUGACAAAACCCAAAACCUCCAUUAAAAACAACUUACUUACAAAUCCCACUUUUUAAUAUUAACUUCCAACAGCUCUCCCUCCUUUCUUCUAAAUUGGAAUAUAUUCAUUUCUUCAUAUAAAAUAUAAUUCUUUAUAUUAACUUUUUAAUCUUACUUUUUGAUUUUUCAAAACUUUCUU
rnacentral:lncRNA from 1 species